rnacentral:tmRNA from 1 species
CCACUUCAAAUUAACCUCUAUCGCCCCUAUAUUCAUGCUGUUCGCUUCGGCGGACUAUGGCGAUAAACGCGCACGCAAUAAGCGGUCUGGACCCGGGUGCGAUUCCCGGCGGCUCCACCAAAGACCCUUCGGAGUGAAGAACCCUUUGCCGGAGGGCCUUUGACGGGGCCGAAUUAGGAUCGACAGACGUGUAAAGGUGUUGCUUUUGCCCGGACGGUGCUCCGUUAAAAGCCCGUUUUUGAUAGUUGCGAAUGACAACUAUGCUGAAGAGGUUGCUCUCGCUGCGUAAUGCGGCGCGAGUAUCUCGCAUCUAAGCCCUGAUCUGUUAGCUGGAUCAGGCGGGGCCCGGGGGCGCCUGGCAACAGAAGCCCCCAUU